rnacentral:antisense_RNA from 1 species
ACAGUCAUUGGCAUACAAAUUAAACCACGACCGUGAGUCGCCAUAAAAUUAAUAGCUUCUGGCGUAACUUUUUCAGCAGCCAUAAU